rnacentral:rRNA from 1 species
ACCCAAUCCUGACACAGGGAGGUAGUGACAAUAAAUAACAAUGCUCUGGCUCUUCGAGUCGGGCAAUUGGAAUGAGAACAAUUUAAAUCCCUUAUCGAGGAUCAAUUGGAGGGCAAGUCUGGUGCCAGCAGCCGCGGUAAUUCCAGCUCCAAUAGCGUAUAUUAAAGUUGUUGCAGUUAAAAAGCUCGUAGUUGGAUUUCUGCUUUGAGCGUCCGGUCCGCUCCUUUGGAGUGUGUUACUAGGAUGGUUGAGGCAUUUUUUGUGAGGACGCCCUUCUGCCAUUCAGUUGGUGGUUGGAUGGACUUGCAUCGUUUACUGUGAAAAAAUUAGAGUGUUUAAAGCAGGCGUUUGCUCAUUGAAUACAUUAGCAUGGAAUAAUAAGAUACGACCUUGGUGGUCUAUUUUGUUGGUUUGCACACCAGGGUAAUGAUUAAUAGGGACAGUUGGGGGUAUUCAUAUUGCAGCGUCAGAGGUGAAAUUCUUGGAUCGCUGCAAGAUGAGCUUAGGCGAAAGCAUUUACCAAGGAUGUUUUCAUUAAUCAAGAACGAAAGUUAAGGGAUCGAAGAUGAUUAGAUACCAUCGUAGUCUUAACCAUAAACUAUGCCGACUCGGGAUUGGCAGUCGUUUUUUUAAUGACCUUGUCAGCACCGUAUGAG